GAGUUUGAUCCUGGCUCAGAACGAACGCUGGCGGCGUGCUUAACACAUGCAAGUCGAACGAGAAACCUCGAGCUUGCUCGAGGGAGUAAAGUGGCGCACGGGUGAGUAACACGUGGGUAACCUACCCCCGAAUCCGGGAUAACCUCGCGAAAGCGUUGCUAAUACCGGAUAUUGUCCUAUCGGUUGUGACCUUUGGGAUGAAAGGCAACCUCUUCAUGAAAGUUGUCGUUCAGGGAUGGGCCCGCGUACCAUUAGCUUGUUGGUGGGGUAACGGCCCACCAAGGCUGCGAUGGUUAGCUGGUCUGAGAGGAUGAUCAGCCACACUGGAACUGAAACACGGUCCAGACUCCUACGGGAGGCAGCAGUGAGGAAUUUUGCGCAAUGGGGGAAACCCUGACGCAGCAACGCCGCGUGAGUGAAGAAGGCUUUCGGGUCGUAAAGCUCUGUCAAGUGGGAAAAAAGUCUGAUGAUUAAUAGUUGUCAGAUCUGAUGGUACCACUGGANGAAGCACCGGCUAACUCCGUGCCAGCAGCCGCGGUAAUACGGAG
rnacentral:rRNA from 1 species